GUGGGGACCAACAGAGCAGUGUGUGUGGAGAACACUGUGGCUUCUACCAGGGCUGCCUGGAGAGAGAGAGGGUGAAGCUGAGGUCCAGGCAGCCAGAACUGCACAGGCUGGUGCAGGGGAGACAAGCCUCUGGGGACAAGAGGCUGGCACAGGCAUGGCCACCAACAGGGGACAGGGAGGCUGGGACAGGCUUGGCCCACCAAGAUCUUAUCUGGAGUUUGAGCCCAGAGGUAGGACAAGACAGAGAACCAGUGAGAAUUCAGGGUGCAGGAAGAAACCCCUGGCCACAGUGUGAACUGGAUUCCGGGGGUGUCGGCAGGUGUGUGAGAACAGCAGCUCUUGUGGGAGUCAGAAUGGAGAGGCAGGAACGGCCACCACGGCGGGCGAUUGUUGAACCAAGAUUGAGGUAGAUCUGUCGUCUGAGGGCUGAGACAUCCUCGGGAAUUUCACCAAGGGCAGGACAUUACUGCUUUGGCUCUAAGUGGCCUCCCUUACCACUUGAAGCUUGGGUCCAAGAAGGAUAAGGAUCCUUCAGCAAACAUCUCUGACGCCGUCUUCUCCCAGGACGGAAUGAUAGCCAUCUUGCAUUGACAUCCCAGGAUACCCAGAGGUCAGAACACAGAGCAACCAACGCUCUGAGACCCCAGUCCAUUCCUGCAGUACAGGUAGUCCUUCCCAGCAGGCCUGGGUUCAGUUCCAGCUACUGUUCAGUCAGUGCCCUGUGCAGGCAGGCAGCAGAGAUAGCCACACCUCCCUUGGGAGGCUGGGACUCAGAAAGAGGGCUGUAGGAAGGACCCAGGGGAGUCAGAGCUCUCAGUGGGAGCCUCUAUUGCCUUCUCAGAAUACCGCCACCCACACAGACAGCUACCAGAGGGUGGCUGUGUGCAGGACCCAUACAAUGAUCUGAUGCCUGAGAGACAUCACUGUCUCUGUCUUUGCUGUGGAAGGAGAUUCUGGCUAAAGGAAGCAAUGGACCCAUCCCAUUAGCGGGUCACUCAGAGCCUAGUCUUCCGGUUCCAGGAAUGCCUGCCUUCUACCCUCCCACAGUCUCUGAGAGGUUAGCUGGCUCACUCUUCUCCGUGCUGGGGCAGCAUCCUGUCCCAAGGCCCCGAACACCCCUGGCAAACUCCAGAUAGGGGAGAGUCAAGAUCACCUACAGAUCCUCCACAGAGUGCCCCAGCUCUACAGGUGAGGCCAGGAUAGGACACAGAUCCGAGGGCACAGCAAAGGCUGGCAAUACUCAGGCGUGCACCAGGGCAUGGAACCUAGCAGCCUCUGUUGCAUAUUU
rnacentral:lncRNA from 1 species